rnacentral:rRNA from 1 species
AGUGAACGCUGGCGGUAGGCCUAACACAUGCAAGUCGAACGGCAGCACAGUAAGAGCUUGCUCUUACGGGUGGCGAGUGGCGGACGGGUGAGGAAUACAUCGGAAUCUACUUUUUCGUGGGGGAUAACGUAGGGAAACUUACGCUAAUACCGCAUACGACCUACGGGUGAAAGCAGUGGAUCUUCGGACCUUGCGCGAUUGAAUGAGCCGAUGUCGGAUUAGCUAGUUGGCGGGGUAAAGGCCCACCAAGGCGACGAUCCGUAGCUGGUCUGAGAGGAUGAUCAGCCACACUGGAACUGAGACACGGUCCAGACUCCUACGGGAGGCAGCAGUGGGGAAUAUUGGGCAAUGGGCGCAAGCCUGAUCCAGCCAUACCGCGUGGGUGAAGAAGGCCUUCGGGUUGUAAAGCCCUUUUGUUGGGAAAGAAAAGCAGCAGAUUAAUACCCCGCUGUUCUGACGGUACCCAAAGAAUAAGCACCGGCUAACUUCGUG